GACGAACGCUGGCGGCGUGCUUAACACAUGCAAGUCGAACGGAAAGGCCCUGCUUUUGUGGGGUGCUCGAGUGGCGAACGGGUGAGUAACACGUGAGUAACCUGCCCUUGACUUUGGGAUAACUUCAGGAAACUGGGGCUAAUACCGGAUAGGAGCUCCUGCUGCAUGGUGGGGGGUGGAAAGUUUCGGCGGUUGGGGAUGGACUCGCGGCUUAUCAGCUUGUUGGUGGGGUAGUGGCUUACCAAGGCUUUGACGGGUAGCCGGCCUGAGAGGGUGACCGGCCACAUUGGGCCUGCGAUACGGCCCGGCCUCCUACGGGAGGCAGCAGUGGGGAAUAUUGCACAAUGGGCGGAAGCCUGAUGCAGCAACGCCGCGUGCGGGAUGCCGGCCUUCGGGUUGUAAACCGCUUUCGCCUGUGACGAAGCGUGAGUGACGGUAAUGGGUAAAGAAGCACCGGCUAACUACGUG
rnacentral:rRNA from 1 species